rnacentral:rRNA from 1 species
GGUCAAGUGAAGAAGCGCAUACGGUGGAUGCCUUGGCAGUCAGAGGCGAUGAAAGACGUGGUAGCCUGCGAAAAGCUUCGGGGAGUCGGCAAACAGACUGUGAUCCGGAGAUGUCUGAAUGGGGGAACCCAGCCAUCAUAAGAUGGUUAUCUUGUACUGAAUACAUAGGUGCAAGAGGCGAACCAGGGGAACUGAAACAUCUAAGUACCCUGAGGAAAAGAAAUCAACCGAGAUUCCCUUAGUAGUGGCGAGCGAACGGGGACUAGCCCUUAAGUGGCUUUGAGAUUAGCGGAACGCUCUGGAAAGGGCGGCCAUAGUGGGUGAUAGCCCUGUACGCGAAAAUCUCUUAGUCAUGAAAUCGAGUAGGACGGAGCACGAGAAACUUUGUCUGAAUAUGGGGGGACCAUCCUCCAAGGCUAAAUACUACUGACUGACCGAUAGUGAACUAGUACCGUGAGGGAAAGGCGAAAAGAACCCCGGAGAGGGGAGUGAAAUAGAUCCUGAAACCGUAUGCGUACAAGCAGUGGGAGCCCACUUUGUUGGGUGACUGCGUACCUUUUGUAUAAUGGGUCAGCGACUUAUUUUCAGUGGCGAGCUUAACCGAAUAGGGGAGGCGUAGCGAAAGCGAGUCUUAAUAGGGCGUCUAGUCGCUGGGAAUAGACCCGAAACCGGGCGAUCUAUCCAUGGGCAGGUUGAAGGUUGGGUAACACUAACUGGAGGACCGAACCGACUACCGUUGAAAAGUUAGCGGAUGACCUGUGGAUCGGAGUGAAAGGCUAAUCAAGCUCGGAGAUAGCUGGUUCUCCUCGAAAGCUAUUUAGGUAGCGCCUCAUGUAUCACUGUAGGGGGUAGAGCACUGUUUCGGCUAGGGGGUCAUCCCGACUUACCAAACCGAUGCAAACUCCGAAUACCUACAAGUGCCGAGCAUGGGAGACACACGGCGGGUGCUAACGUCCGUCGUGAAAAGGGAAACAACCCAGACCGUCAGCUAAGGUCCCAAAGUUAUGGUUAAGUGGGAAACGAUGUGGGAAGGCUUAGACAGCUAGGAGGUUGGCUUAGAAGCAGCCACCCUUUAAAGAAAGCGUAAUAGCUCACUAGUCGAGUCGGCCUGCGCGGAAGAUGUAACGGGGCUCAAACCAUACACCGAAGCUACGGGUAUCACUUAGGUGAUGCGGUAGAGGAGCGUUCUGUAAGCCUGUGAAGGUGAGUUGAGAAGCUUGCUGGAGGUAUCAGAAGUGCGAAUGCUGACAUGAGUAACGACAAUGGGUGUGAAAAACACCCACGCCGAAAGACCAAGGUUUCCUGCGCAACGUUAAUCGACGCAGGGUUAGUCGGUCCCUAAGGCGAGGCUGAAAAGCGUAGUCGAUGGAAAACAGGUUAAUAUUCCUGUACUUCUGGUUAUUGCGAUGGAGGGACGGAGAAGGCUAGGCCAGCUUGGCGUUGGUUGUCCAAGUUUAAGGUGGUAGGCUGGAAUCUUAGGUAAAUCCGGGAUUCUAAGGCCGAGAGCUGAUGACGAGUUACCCUUUGGGUGACGAAGUGGUUGAUGCCAUGCUUCCAAGAAAAGCUUCUAAGCUUCAGGUAACCAGGAACCGUACCCCAAACCGACACAGGUGGUUGGGUAGAGAAUACCAAGGCGCUUGAGAGAACUCGGGUGAAGGAACUAGGCAAAAUGGCACCGUAACUUCGGGAGAAGGUGCGCCGGUGAGGGUGAAGCACUUGCUGCGUAAGCCCACGCCGGUCGAAGAUACCAGGCCGCUGCGACUGUUUAUUAAAAACACAGCACUCUGCAAACACGAAAGUGGACGUAUAGGGUGUGACGCCUGCCCGUGCCGGAAGGUUAAUUGAUGGGGUUAGCUAACGCGAAGCUCUUGAUCGAAGCCCCGGUAAACGGCGGCCGUAACUAUAACGGUCCUAAGGUAGCGAAAUUCCUUGUCGGGUAAGUUCCGACCUGCACGAAUGGCGUAACGAUGGCGGCGCUGUCUCCACCCGAGACUCAGUGAAAUUGAAAUCGCUGUGAAGAUGCAGUGUAUCCGCGGCUAGACGGAAAGACCCCGUGAACCUUUACUAUAGCUUUGCACUGGACUUUGAAUUUGCUUGUGUAGGAUAGGUGGGAGGCUUUGAAGCGUGGACGCCAGUUCGCGUGGAGCCAACCUUGAAAUACCACCCUGGCAACUUUGAGGUUCUAACUCAGGUCCGUUAUCCGGAUCGAGGACAGUGUAUGGUGGGUAGUUUGACUGGGGCGGUCUCCUCCUAAAGAGUAACGGAGGAGUACGAAGGUGCGCUCAGACCGGUCGGAAAUCGGUCGUAGAGUAUAAAGGCAAAAGCGCGCUUGACUGCGAGACAGACACGUCGAGCAGGUACGAAGUAGGUCUUAGUGAUCCGGUGGUUCUGUAUGGAAGGGCCAUCGCUCAACGGAUAAAAGGUACUCCGGGGAUAACAGGCUGAUACCGCCCAAGAGUUCAUAUCGACGGCGGUGUUUGGCACCUCGAUGUCGGCUCAUCACAUCCUGGGGCUGAAGCCGGUCCCAAGGGUAUGGCUGUUCGCCAUUUAAAGUGGUACGCGAGCUGGGUUUAGAACGUCGUGAGACAGUUCGGUCCCUAUCUGCCGUGGACGUUUGAGAUUUGAGAGGGGCUGCUCCUAGUACGAGAGGACCGGAGUGGACGAACCUCUGGUGUUCCGGUUGUCACGCCAGUGGCAUUGCCGGGUAGCUAUGUUCGGAAAAGAUAACCGCUGAAAGCAUCUAAGCGGGAAACUUGCCUCAAGAUGAGAUCUCACUGGGACCUUGAGUCCCCUGAAGGGCCGUCGAAGACUACGACGUUGAUAGGUGGGGUGUGUAAGCGCUGUGAGGCGUUGAGCUAACCCAUACUAAUUGCCCGUGAGGCUUGACCAU